UAAUCCAGUGAGGUAGAAUGUGUUUGAGGUCUGUGUUUGUGUGUGAAAGCAGCCUUACUUACUUCUAUGCGAGGCGAAUGACCCCUGAAUUUUAGACGUUGUCAUUCCUCUUCACUUUCAUGUCAUAUGACAUGGCUUCGUUUACGUUGAUGGAGCAUGUUUAAUUCCAUUGAGGACAGAAUUUCGUACCGUUGCCAUCAAAAGACAGAUCAGUUUUGUUAAGGAACUAGACAAAUGUCAAAGGCUAAAGGUCAAACUUUCAAGAGACCACCGAUAAAUCUGACGAGAGAGAAUGUCUGCCUUUCCGCUUCAUGUGAUGUUUGAAUAAUCAAUUGCUUGAGAAAGGACUGACAUCUCAUUGCUAGUUGAGUAACCUAGCUACUAGCUAGCUACUACUAAGGCUAUAGGGUAGGCUGACCUGACCCUCGAGAUGUGGCGGACCGUGCGACAGUGCCAGGGCAGGCAUGAUGAUAGGGAGAUUUCGUAACGAAGCAAAAUGAAAUAGACAUGCUGAUCAAUCUUGGAACCAUAUGUAAAUGAAGAAAGAAGUGAAAACAGAAAAUUAAUUAUGUUUGUAGAGGACUGAAGGAACAUAAGAAGAAAACCUAGCAGUCUUUGUCAAUGGAUAAGCCUGCAGGCAGCAAAGUUAAACCUAGAAUAUCUUUGUUGAAUGUUAAGCUGUGAUUAUGACGAAUGCCUUGGUUGGACAUCUUCCAACUUUAAGAUCAGAGAGAAGUUUGCUCACCAUAGUAAAAGAUCCAUUGAGGAUCAAGUUUUACAUGUCUACACACACCAAGACAGACUGUCAUAGUAGAGAAACCUUCUUUGCAGUACAUUGUGAAUGAGACUGAGUUUACUGGUUAGCAAAAUCUUGUGUUGACUGAAGGCAACAUGGUAACUAGUGAAUUCUUUGAUUGCUGAUGAUUCAUGGACUGCCAAGUGCUUUAAUAAUGUGCUGGUGAUGAAUUCACGGCUCAUGACAGUGAUCAACAGUGUUUCUCAGGCAAAGACUCUUAAUGUUUAACUAACUCAUGGAGCUAUUUCUAAAUUCAUCAUAGGGCUGGCCUGAAGGAUGUUUUUUAUCAAGAGGUGAAAAUUGGAGUAAAUACUCAAAGAAGUCAGAUAGGUAGGUAGGAAAAGACCUUAGUGGCAGCCAGGAACUUGGAUGUUGCAGCAAAAAUUUAUAAUGCUGCAGACUGUCUUGAGUCAAUUAGGCAGUACAGUGUUCCCCUGUAUUCGCAGGGGAUGGGUGCCAGAACCCGCAAAUAGUUGAAACCCCUAUAAUAAAAACGCUUAAAACUUCCUAUUUUGUUUGUUAAAACUCAGAAAAACCCACUAGAAAUGUUUGUACCCGGUUUUUUGAAGUAGCUUUAUUUCAGAAUUGACUUUAUGAAAAUUGAUAAAAAAAAAAAAAGGAAUUUGUGGAUAUUCCUCAUGAAAAAAUACCACGAACAGGUGAAUUGGUGAAUUUUCUGCGAAUAAAGGGGGUAUAUGUUCUAGAGAGAAAUCCGCGAAUCUGGAGUCUGUGAAUACGGGGGGUUUCACUGUACUUCCUGGACAGGAAGGCAGUUGGAUGUACUGGAUGGAACAUUGGGGCUGGUCAGUGUUGGAAAGGGAGACCACACAGCAAGGCAUAACUAGAGACUGUGACUCUCUGUGGGAAAUGGGCAUGGAGAAGUUAACCUCAUCCCAAAAGUCAUUGCUUAGAAACUUGAAGCAUAUUUUCGAAGUGUGGCAUGGGACCAACAGUUGAUUGCAAUAAGGUCUGAGAAGCAAACAGAUUGAGUGAAUCAGGAUACUGACAAUGAUUGUCAUUGACCAUUUUCAACCUGUAGGUGAGGGAGCCAAGAUUGAAUUUGUGUAUCAUGAGGGUAAUUCAAAGAUGUAGAGAUGCUUAGGAAAUUUCCUGUAUAAGGUCCUUUUUCUUGGAUGUGGUGUCAUUGAAUGCAACAAAUUUUAAAGAUUGCAUGUUGUAUGGAAGAUGGUUAAUCUGGUAAUUAUGUAUAGCUGUCAUUAGCCUCACAGCCUGGUAGAAAUGGAACCAUAUAGUCAUGCCAAGUGGGGGUAAUAUGAAAGCUAAAGGAAAACUUACAUCUUAGCCAUGGCCACUCAAGAGUUAACAUAGCUAUCAUCAUCAUCAUAAACACUUUUGCAUUGGAAUUUUCCUUUGGCCAUGAUUUCCUGGCCUUACCACAGGUCUUCGUCCUGCAACCUCCAUAUCUAUUGUGUUAACAACCAGCUAUUCUUCAUUUCUUUUCUUCACAUGUCUAAACCAUCUUAGUCAUUUAGAUUUGUCUGUGUUGAGCCUCAUGCCACCACAUUCUCCACCAAUUCCUUAUUCAUAAUAUGAUCCCACUGCACUCCAGCCAUGAAUUUUAACGUUCUUUGGUCAUACUUUUUUAGAAUCCCAUCCAGUUUCUCUGUCAUUGCUCAUGUUCUGCAGUAUGAGCCUAAUGUUCCCAUCAUAAGGCUGGGCUUUCUCUGUUUUGUCAUGCUGUAGAGUGGGCAUUUGACAGAAAAAGUUAUAUUCUCCUGUUUUGGUUAAUUUGUUUUGAAAUAUAGGCACGUAUUCCUCUAGUUCUGAAAUAAAAACUUUGGUUGAAAUCAAUGUAAUAGGGAACUAUUUACAGCGUGUCUUGCAUGGUAUCACCUCGAAUGAGUUGAUUUUUUUUGGAGUCUUUCUUUACUUUGAGCCUUUCAUUGCUAAGUAGACAUCUUUCAUUAAUUCCUUAUCAUCUUCCUUGUACAGUUGCAGCAGGUCUGCUGUGCACUUUCAGAGUUCUACAUCCCACAAUUUUGUGAUACCUCUUAGUAUUCUCUAGGGGUAGUCAGUUAUUCUAGCUUUGAGAGAGAGAGAGAGAGAGAGAGAGAGACUAUUCAUAACAUUCAUACUUUCAUCACCCCCUUGGGGGUAGUGCCAUCUGGGCACCUCAUGCAGUGCACUGCAGGCAUUACUUAAGGUUCUUUGCAGUGUCUCAUCAGCCCCUAGUUGCAACCCCUUUCAUUCAUUUUAUAGUACCAUCAUUUGUAUUGUCUUUCUUCCAUCUUACUAUACAUCCUCACCUAACAAUUGUUUCUUAGUGCAACUGGAAGGUUAUCCUCAUGUUAUGCCUUUCAAGCCUUUCUAUUGUCAAUUUCUGUUCGAGUGCUAAAAUUCUGUAUUCUAUUAUUACUCUUAUCACCAAGCUUCACUCACUUGUUCUUUCUCUUUGUAUUUUUUCUUUUAACAUUUUACCACAACAAGAAACUAUGUCUGGCCUAUCAAAGAGUGAGUCUCACACCAAAGGACUCCCUUCCGAUGAGUGGCGCUGACUCAGAGAAUGUGCAGAAAGGUGAAUGUGGUGAAUAGAGCAGUAAAUAAAUUCUGCCUCCUCCAGAACAGCAAAACCAAAUACAUAUAUGUAUGUACUGUAAAGUCACAAAACUUAAACAAAAAUGUGUUUUUCCAGUUAAGCUCACAUUUAGCCCGGAAAACUCCAAGUCACAUGUGUAUAGUGCCUCCUAAGAUUUCAGUUUUAACAGAUGUUUUGCAGACACCUUUCUUAGAAUUUUGUAUCUUUAGGGGAAACAUGUUGACAAAACAUUGUUGAAAUAUCAAGAAAAUGAACAUUCUAACAUAUUAACAUUUAAGGCAUGUAAUUUUUUGAAAAUUUUAGCAGCAUUAAACUGAAGAUGCCUUAAACUAGUUAUUGGCUGUUGAUGGUGCAGCUGAAGGUUUUUCUGUGAUGUGUUUUAAGGUACAGGUGCUAAAACAUUCCUGGUGCUAGAAAGAACUGAAAUGAGCCGUCAUUUAUAGCCAGUUUGAAAUAUCUUUUCAUUAUCUUUAUUUAAUCCAUACUUGGAGCUCUUCAGUUUUGUCCAUUAUCCUUGCCUCAUGGUAGUUGUUGCAGUAUAUCAUCACCCUUUUUCUAGUAACAAGGUAAGUGCUUCUAACAUUAAUUAUUUUAAGUAAAAUUUAUUUUUAUUUUUACAGUUUGUUGAAUGAAUUGUAUGUGCCUUGUAAGAAGGAAUUUAACAUUGAAGGUGAAUAUCUUGGAGGCGUUACCACAAAUGGGUUAUGUAAGUAUUACAGAUAAAGUAUUGAAUUUUCAGUAGCCUUUUCUAUAUACUGAAGCUUUAGCUGAGACCUAAAGGGCUGAGAAGCAAGGUAUGACAACACCCUUUUUUGGUUUUGGUUCUUGCUUUACCAAAGAAUCAUGAAAACAAUUCCUUUUUUCAUGUGUAAGCACUACAACUGAAUAUAAGAGGAUGGAAGGGUAUUGGAAUGUCAUUUCUUAGUUUAAGUUACUCACAUUAUUCAAAGGGACUGUUGCUUGUAUUUCAAAGAGAGCAUUGGUAAACUGUAUGAGUCAGGCCCCAUUUCUUGUGAUGCAUAAAUAUUUUAAUUCUUAUAUCUGUCUGGGAAAGACUAAAUGCUUACUGCAAUUCUUGUGAUAUUAUACCACUCUCAAAAUAUGCCAGUUACAUGUAAUUAUGAUAAGUUUAUGGUUAGUUCAGGAUUCAUCACAUGUAUUCAUACAAACGAUGCUCAAGAGCCAUGGGUAAGCAGUUGAAUAUAUCAUCUUUAUAUGAGGUAUAUUUAUGGGCCUUAGUAGCACCAUACUUCAUUUUAGGCUUAUGUAAAACUAUACUUGUUUUUGUUCAAAUUCAUAUGUUUUUACAAGUUUUCAUAAAACCCAUUCAUUGCAAAAUAGUCCUUCACUCUGCAGAGCACCUCCAGACACAUAAAGCAAAACAAAUCAAGCCACCAAUACUCUUUCAGGUGUGCCAUACUAAGAGAAAAGUGGUGGGAGGUGGGGGUUUAAUGUUUAUGAUAAAUGGGUUUGUAUUAAACUCUGUUUUGUUGUAUUAAUGAAAUAAUGAUGGUAAUGAAAAGUCAGAACCUAAUUUUUGAUUGUGUAGCUGCUGUUCGUCCUCAAGGGAACUAACAAAGGAAAUUGACAGGUGACAAAAUGGCUUAGCUCUUAAUAAAUAAAUCUCAACAACAAAGAUUAAUUUUUGGUCUAAGGUAUAGUCACAGGUUAACGAUUUUCUUUAUUCAGGAUACCCAUAGGAUUUGGCAGUAAAGAACAGGAAACAACACACGAAGCAAUAAUAUAUGUAUUCUUCGAACUAUUCUUCUAGUUCGAAGGUGGCUCACCUAAUUAUGUUGGGUCUGACUACAAGAUUAUUGCACCUUCCCCAGCAAUAUCUCAGAAUGGCCACCACUCUUAUGGCAGUAGUGUUUCAGGAAUUUUUUAUGUAAAGUAAAGUCAUAGGUUAUCAUCAAUUUUCUUUAUUCUGGAUACCUAUUAGGGUCUGGCAAUAAAGAACAGGAGAUACAAACCUAUAAAUGUAGUAUCCAUUGUGGUUCUACUGUCUCUAAUAACCACUCUGUACACUUGAAGACUUCUUCAAAGGAAACAUUUCUGAAGAAAGUUGAUUAUGUACUCACCUUUUGGAUGUCGUGACAGAAGGAAAGGAGCGAGAGUAUGCGUUUUUAGUGAGGGCCACUAGAAUAAUUCUCAGCCCAUGUAGAGAGUGGUUUGUUUGUGCUAAGAUAUAGGAAAAACAGUACUAUCUGGGAUGUUUGCCGUGACAUCUAGAUCUAGAUAAACCAUAAGUGCUUGAACCAGGCAUAAUAUGUAUCAGAAAAGGGGAUUCCCCCUUUAAAAAGGUCAUCAUUCUUGGCCAGGAAUGAUAGGCCAGGAGACAACAGCAGAUGAUAACUUGAGUGCUUGAAUGGUGAAAAGAUGUCCUUGUCCAAGAGAGCUCAAUAUGCUAAUCCAAGCUUCUGAUGCCAAAACAGUCAAGAAGACUGCCUUUUGCUGCAUAAGAGUUCUAGUUAGUGUUGGGUCUAUAAAUUGAGGGGAUGACAGGAGUCUAAGAACCCAUUUCAGGGACAUGGUAAUGGGAAACCUUGCAGGAGCUGACCUUUUCAUUGUAAAAGACUGGAGAAUGGCAUUAACAAUUUCUAUAUUUAUUAGAAUAAAUUCCAAACCAUAAGGCAAGGAUUCCACUAAUGAUUGUUGAAAUUGUAAGGUGCAUGACCUCAAAAGAUAAUCAAAUGUAAAACUGUUCUAACAGUUUAACUGGGCUCUGUGUGGGGUCAGUCCAACUACAUUUCCCAAACAGACUAGUAUGUUGGAUUGAUAAAGUCUGUACUGUUGCACUAGAUACCUAGCAAUGUUAGGCAAAUAAUGUUAACAGUAGACUGAGUAGAUUAGAUUUAAAAUUCCAUGUGAAAGUCACAGCUCAGGAACGAGAAUAAGUAGAUGACUUCCUCUCAUCUUGUCUGGGAUAGAACAAUGGACAGCGAUAUUCUUUUGCUUCUUGUUGAAGAAAUAAGUAACCAAUGACUGGCCAAUUUAGGGCUACUAGGCCAGUGGUUCAUUGAAAGCUAGUAGAUUGUUCAAAGCUUUUGAAAUCUGGGUCAAUGAAGGGAAAAAGGUAUAUCAUCCUUCAUUUGUUCCAGUCUCAUAGGAAUGCAUCGCUUUUUAUUGCUAAAUGUCCAGGUUCAGAGACACGCACACAUGGGAAGUUGAUGGUUCAUGCAUGUGGCAAACUGUUUCACUUCCAGAAUGUAGAAGCAUGUUAGCAAUUACUGACUCAGGUGGAGCCCAGUAUGAUCCUAACGUCUUUAUAGAAGACUUUGCAGUCAUAUUGUGUAGGAUAGACUGAGACUUUGUGAGCAGGUGACCAUCAUCCCCCUAACGACACACCUCCCAAUGGCCUCCCCAACCUGUCAAGGAGGCAUCAGUAUGUAUUAUCACCCGUAUGAACGGUAGAGUCAGUUCAGCCUGUUUUCCAGGGACCCCUGCCAGGUCCAUGAACAGAGUAUCUAACCAAUCUCAGAUGAAGGCAAUCACAAAGCCUUUUCCUGGCAUGUGAGAGCACAUCUGUUAAAUCCUACAGUCACAGUCUCAGGAGUAGAUCUACCAUCGACCCAAACUGUAACAGGUUCAGACUUCAUUCCAGUUGUCAUUGGAAAAGCAGGACUUUGCAAGGAAUGUACUGUACCAGGUCCUUCCUUUUUCUGGUUAGUGCUUUGUGAAAAGACAGCUGGCUGCAAAGAGUAGCCCAACAAAGUCCCUGCAUCAGAAAAAGUCUGCUGAUGUAAGGUAGGACUUUUUCCUAUUAAGAAACCACUCUCAGGUUCCAUUAGCACUCUUCUCUGGUGGCUCCCCAGAUUAGCCAAUCACCUAGGUUGGCCACCAGUAAAUCCUUCAUUCUUGAGGUCUCUUCAAGUACAAAAGCAGCUACCAAAAUUAGGUAUUUCCUAUGUCAAUUUUUUUUCCCUCCAAAAGAACAUGGCCCACUUCAGUGACAGGGCCUAAGGAAUAAAUAUUCAACGAUUUAUGGGUGACAUUGCAAAGGUGGUUUGACAAUGCCGACAUGGGAAGUAGCUCUAAGUUAUGUCUGAAAGCCAAAGAGGAAGACAGGCUCAGACUUAAUGGGCUUUGAUCCUAAGAGAGGCAAGGUUUUCUCUAUCUGUGUAGAAUAAGCUCAGUUGAUAACUUUCCAAAGUCAGAAGGAAAGAGAAUUAUUUUCUGACUUGUUUGUAGGAAAAGACGAGGAAGAGGAGUAAUAUUUACUAAUGGUUGCAGGUAUCUAGGAAGAUGCCAAAAUGAUGCAAGCUUAUCCUUCUGGAAUGAUGAUAUAAGUGCUAGGAUAGCAAAAAAAAAAAAAACAGGGGGGGGACUUCCUUUGGAAGACUGAGUCUCGGCCACAAAGAUUGUUGUGAAGGUAAGACCAGCCAAGGACCAAUGAUUGGUGUGAGGGACAUUGCCAGUAAGAGCAUGGACCUAAUUGACACAUUUAUAGAGAGUGAGGUGAUUAAAAACACCUUUUUGACGGGUAAGAUGUUGAGGAAUGCUUCUGACAAAAGCUUGUAGGGUGAACCAAGUGGUAAAGCUGCACUCGAUCAAGGUCAAAUCCCAACUUCAAGAGGUUCCACAGGAACUUGAGAACUAGACUUAUUGAAAUGAUUAAAAGAUUGGAAAGGCUUCUGAUAUUCCAUGAACUGGGAUGAUGCUGAAUAAAGACUGAUGGAGGAUGAGAGCCUGCUCCUUACACCAAGCCAAGGACCUUGCCAGCAUUGCAUGAUAAAGGGACAUAGUGGACAACCGACAGAUCGGAGAUGACUAAUGCAGUGACCUCCAAAAAUUAUAUUUGUUUGAGGGUAUAAUUGAUAACCACCACUUGUGAAUUUAAAGGCAAUGCAGGAACUUGACCUGUGACUGCCUGACCCUGGAAGGUUGAAGGGAGACUUCUCUCAACCUCUUAAACAAAAGGAAACACGAAACUUGAAGGUUGUGAGACUGAUUGAUGCUGAUGGCUAACAUAAGUAAAUGGCCACCGAGUGACGUAAGAUGAUUGCUGCAGUUGUGACAGUAGCCUUGCCAGACCUCCAGAAGAGUUUUGCUAAAAGAAAAGCCAUGGGCUGCUUUGUACAUGUGAAUGAGAAUGACAAGGCAGCAGUGGCACUCAUAUUACUAUAGCAGUCUGAGUAACAAUAUACAUUUAACUUCUUACUUAACAACUAAACCAGCUUGUCAAGAUCCAUCUUUUGGAGUGAGGAUACAAGGAACCUAGAGUGACUGUAGAGGUGGACUUUUUUGUUAGAAAUGAGAGUUGCAUGUAUUAGGAGCAACUUGCGUUGGAAUGGCCAUUGCCAGAACAAAGAGCAAGUGUGUAUACCCCUUAGCGCGGUAAACUUUAAGGUUGGCCAAUUAGAAAAAAUAUCAGUGGAAAGAGGAAGAUAUCCAAAUGUAUGUGAUAUCUUCCACAGGAAGUUGAAAGUGAAUAUUUCAACCCUGUAUGAGGCCUCUUUUAAGACACUUAUAAAAAUAUGCUUAUUUUAUCUAUUUAUACUGUACACAUUUUUAAUAAUGUUUAAAAUUUUGGAUAGCUAGUUAUGCAUAUUUUUUUUAUAUUUAUUUGUACUUAAGUUUGCAAAAUUACAAUUAUAGAUGACAUAGUAUCAUAAAAGAUAGGAAAUAAAACCAACAGCAAACAGAGUUACAUAUACAGUUACUGGGGAUCCAAAGAGCAUAUCUGUCCAGUAAGGGUUAAGAUCUUUACAAAUGAGACUGUCUUGCAAGGGACACAACUCCUCUUCAUUGUUUUCCCCGGGUUCCUCGACAACAUGCACAGUGUCCUGAGAAGGAUUUACUUGAGCAUGCUUUAUUGGUGGGAGAUCCAAUCCUGAGGCCAGAUCUGAAGGGCUGGGGGAGGGAUAUUGUUCUUAUCAAUUCUUGGGACACCAUCUACAGCAAGACAGUCUUUAAAGGGAAAGGAGACAAGGAAUUACUGGAAGAGGGAAAGGAAGACACCAGAAGGUGCUUGUGCCACUUCUGCUUACAUGCAGAAACAAAGAGCUAGUAGAAGGUUGAUUAGAAUGACUUGAGAAGGUCAUGCUGGAAAAUGGAAGGGUGAGAGACCUGUUACUUGUGGAAUUUGAUCAUUUCUUGUAAUGAAAAGACCCUUCAGAAUCCAUAGAAAGAAUCAAAUGUAAGCGUAAGGGAGAAGAGAGCCUCAGGACAAAGAUUGAGGAUGCUUCUAACCCUGUCCUACAUUGAUGAUUUACAGGGCAAAGGAAUGCUAGCCAGUUCUGUCUGUAGGCUAGAGAUUAGAGUAACUGAAUCAGGAGAGACUGAAAGCCCCUGAUAACCAUCACGGCAGCAGCCAAAAAAUGCAGGUACCACUGGAGCAUCUGAGACCAUUGGCAGUAAUGCAAAGAGGGGCAUGAGUGACCCAUAGGGAGUGUGAGGAGCCAUAAAGAAUCAAGCAGGAAUGGAUGGACAUGCAAAGGCAGACACAGGGGUGCUCCCAGAAGGAUGACAUAUGACCAAAGGAUUUCAUGGACUGAGGAGGAAAGAGGGGAAGCUGUGGGAAGGGCAGAGAUGGGAACAUAGUAGAACUCGAAGCAACUGGAUCAGGCUUGUAUGAAGGGAAGGCUCGGGUAGGCAGGAAAGCAGGGACUGAAGAAUGUAUCCUUAUCACAUUUAAAGGGUAUGCCAAGUAAGGUGGAAUGAUAACAAAGAUAACAGCUGAAGCCACUAUCUUAAGGAUACAAGGAAUCCGUCUAGUCCCCACGUAAGCUCUUGAAGGCAGAUUCAUCAGUAAUCAAAGUAAAAUGGACCAGCCAUGGCAGGUAUGGCAGACAUACCUUCUUUGCUAGCUCUAGUGUCUUAAUGCAUUAUGAAAAUUGGAAUAUAAAUACAAAAACACAAAAAUUAUUCUAACAAAAACUCAAUUCAUAAGCUAAGCAGAAAUGGAGAACCAGAGGUUGAAAGGGGAAAUAAGGGCUCUGGUAAAAAAAGUUUGAGCAGACAAAGCACAUAAUAACUCAACAAUUGUUAUCAUUUAUUGUGAACUGAAGUUAACAUAAAAACUUAGCAAAACAGAAGUUUUUCACAAGCACAGGAAUGACUUCAAGGGAAUGAAAAACGGUAGUAGGCUACUCAGAGUAACCAGACUUCACAAUGCAAUGGGUGUCAGUAUUGGAAUAACAGUGAUUUGCAGUCAACAGCGCAAGGAGAAUGAAAUGGAAAUGCACUGAAAAUACAGACAAAGCACAUGAUAAAACUAGUGAAAUGCUUUUAAGUCCUGUAGGAAAUUCAGCAGUCAGAAAGUAUAAAGUGGUCCUGUCAAGAAGGGGGAGUUGGUGAAGCAUGCAUUUUUUUUAAAUCUCUGCUUAGGUGUUUUGCAUUGUAUGCUUAGAUGUGUUCUGCAUAGGGAAAGGCCAUUUUAUGUUGUUUUAACAAAUAAAAAUCUAUGUGUAUUUGUUAUCAUUGCUCCAGGUUUGAAGAUCACUUCAUUUUAUAGUAUUUAUAACUUCUUGACUGCCAAAGGUCAGUGAAUCAUAAUCUGAAAAAAAGAACUGAAUUUUUAUAACAUUGAGCUUUCACGCUCUAUUAAGUACAUUUUGCUGUGCAUAUACAAUGUUAUGGAGUUUUUUCAACCUCUAGCACAUUAUUUUUAUGCAUGAUCCUGGAAAACACUACAGCAUGAUUUACUGCUCUUGAGUUAAUCACUUUACAUCAUUCCACACCUUCAAGUACAUAUUACCAUUAUUUUGGUUACGUAUUCCUUUAAUCAAGAAGUGAAAUAAUUGUGAUCUUAUUUAUUGAAAUUGACAGAUUUAAGAUGAGUAGGAGUUGUGCAAUAUCAGUAAUGUAUUGUGAUACUUAUAGAUUUAUUAAUUUAGAUUUGAACUGGUCAGAACAGAUUUAUGUGAUGUUAUUUUCAGCACUACAGUAAUGAGUGUGAUUACAGUUAGUACAUAUAACUGGACCAAGUGCUUACAGUUCCUGGUACUGUUUGUAGACAUUGCUUCAUUAUAUGCUCAUUUUCACCAACUUAUGCAUUUAUACUUAAUGCAGUAAAGCAUACAGUAUACAUUAUAGUACUGUAUAUCAGAAAGCAAUAAAUUAGGAAAGACUUGCAUCUAAUUUUGAGUUUUUAGUAACUGAUAGUUAUCAAAAUUUUACAGUUAUGUGGAAGAGGGAUUUUACUAUUUAUUGUUAUCAGAUUAUUUAUAGACACAAGCCGUUUUCAGUAGCUUAAUGUAUUUAUAGUUUUACAGUAAAAAUAUGGGAAAUAUGCUUAUGGAAUGUUUAUUAGUAUGUAUUGGCAUUUGGCAUAUUUCUUAUAAGAGAUGGUCUGUUAUGUUGCUUCGAGAACUGAAAAUGUCAUAAUUUUAUACACUUCAUGAGCAUUUGCAUUUACUUUAUGUACAUUUCAAUGGAUCUCAAUCAAAUGGGGAAUUAGAGGUUAUCAUAGUACUGUAGUUGUUUAACAACAAUCUGUAUCUGUUAAAACCGCUUAUUGUUUCCUGCUGAUCUUUUGUUUUUACUUUUGAUAGCAUUUUCAGUCUUUUAUAACUAUACAUGUCCAAUUUUUAUCUACACAUGUACUAAUCAGAGGAGGAAAAAAAAUUCAUAGAAUUUUUGAAGAGUAUUACAGGUUCAUUUCUUAAUAAUAGUUUCCCAGGGUUUUACUUUGUGUAAGUGCUUAUUUAGUAAUUGAUGUGUUAUUUGUUAUAUCAAACGUGCAGUUCUCAUGAGUGUCUUAUGAAAGGAAUGUAUUUGGCAAGUUGUCAAACUAGUCCCUAUUGUUAGAUGUAGCUUGAAAAAGGUUUGAAAAUAUAUGGUUAUGUUUUUA